GUUUAUGGCCAUACCAUCCUGAGUGCUCCUGAUCUCCUCCGAUCUCAUAAAGUAAGUGGGGUUCAAGCACGAUUAGUACUGGGAUGGGAGAUAAUUCAUUUCAACUAUUAUUUGACUAGAAAUGUAGUAUGUAAGUU
rnacentral:rRNA from 1 species